rnacentral:rRNA from 1 species
UACGGGGGGGGGCAAGCGUUGUUCGGAAUUACUGGGCGUAAAGGGCUCGUAGGUGGCCAACUAAGUCAGACGUGAAAUCCCUCAGCUUAACUGGGGAACUGCGUCUGAUACUGGAUGGCUUGAGAUUGGGAGAGGGAUGCGGAAUUCCAGGUGUAGCGGUGAAAUGCGUAGAUAUCUGGAGGAACACCGGUGGCGAAGGCGGCAUCCUGAGCCAACACUGACACUGAGGAGCGAAAGCCAGGGGAGCAAACGGG